rnacentral:rRNA from 1 species
UACGGGGGGGGUAAGCGUUGUUCGGAAUUACUGGGCGUAAAGGGCUCGUAGGCAGCCAACUAAGUCGGACGUGAAAUCCCUCAGCUUAACUGGGGAACUGCGUCCGAUACUGGAUGGCUUGGAUUUGGGAGAGGGAUGCGGAAUUCCAGGUGUAGCGGUGAAAUGCGUAGAUAUCUGGAGGAACACCGGUGGCGAAGGCGGCAUCCUGGACCAAUAUUGACGCUGAGGAGCGAAAGCUAGGGGAGCAAACGGG